AUUUAUUUUACAUAAUGAAUAUUGUCUCUUUAAUGAGUGAAAAGCAAAAUAUACUUCCACACGUGCAGUUCCCCGUCGUGAAUGGUAAGGGUGAUUCAGGAGUUGGAGGAGCCUUCAUGAAAAUGAACAUAAAGCCAUCAGAAGCCUCGGACUGCGGUGAAUAAUUGAUGCAGUUCAUCACGAAGGGAUGCGAGGGUAUGCUGCUACACUUCAGCCAUUUGGACUCAUCCGAAGGCACAGAGAAGUCGGACUUUGCAAAGGCCCCAACACAUUCCAGGAAGGAUAUCAUAUUUACGAAGAAUGUACUCGAUAAGUGUUCCUGUCCCUGUUCCUGACGAUCGGAAACCCAGUCAGAGACGGUUGGCAUCAACUUAGAAAGCCGUCGAUUCCGGGAGCGGUUUCAGGAACAGCUGCUGUGUCUGUUGUGUCCCUGCUUUGUCCACUUACUUCCCGUCAUUCGUUCGGCGGGUUACUUAAUACCAUGGGAUGUGAUCCGGUAAAGCAGAGAGGCGAGGAAAAUACAAG